GACGAACCGUGCGAACGUUGUUCGGAAUCACUGGGCUUAAAGGGCGCGUAGGCGGGUCAGCCAGUUCGGGGUGAAAUCCUCCGGCUUAACCGGAGAACAGCCUCGAAGACGACUGAUCUGGAGGGAGGUAGGGGUCGCUGGAACUUCCGGUGGAGCGGUGAAAUGCGUUGAUAUCGGAAGGAACGCCGGUGGCGAAAGCGAGCGACUGGACCUUUACUGACGCUGAGGCGCGAAAGCUAGGGGAGCAAACGGG
rnacentral:rRNA from 1 species